UGAGAAGAGCUGUGUUCCUGGUGCUGGGU
rnacentral:piRNA from 1 species